rnacentral:tRNA from 1 species
GCGCCCGUAGCUCAGUUGGAUAGAGCACUGGUCUUCUAAACCAGGGGCCGCAGGUUCGAAUCCUGCCGGGCGCGCCA